GGCCGGUUAGCUCAGUCGGUUGAGCGCGGUGCUGACAACAAUGACACCACCGAGGUCGCGAGUUCGAUUCCUGCUCGGUCC
rnacentral:tRNA from 1 species